rnacentral:rRNA from 1 species
AUUGAACGCUGGCGGCAGGCCUAACACAUGCAAGUCGAGCGAGCGGCGGACGGGUGAGUAAUGUCUGGGAAACUGCCUGAUGGAGGGGGAUAACUACUGGAAACGGUAGCUAAUACCGCAUACCAUCAGAUGUGCCCAGAUGGGAUUAGCUAGUAGGUGGGGUAACGGCUCACCUAGGCGACGAUCCCUAGCUGGUCUGAGAGGAUGACCGGCAAAACUGGAAUUGAGACACGUUCCAGCCUCCUCGGGGGGGCAGCAGUGGGGAUUAUUGCCCAAUGGGGGAAAGCUGACUGCAGCAAUGCCGGGUGUGGGAAGAAGGCCUCGGGGUUGUAAAGCACUUUCAGCGGGGAGGCGUUACCCGCAGAAGAAGCACCGGCUAACUCCGUGCCAGCAGCCGCGGUAUAC